GCCUCGGUAGCUCAGCUGGCCAGAGCUUGCGACUUUUAAUCGCGAGGUCGGGAGUUCGACUCUCCCCCGAGGCA
rnacentral:tRNA from 1 species